rnacentral:rRNA from 1 species
UACGUAGGGCGCAAGCGUUGUCCGGAAUUAUUGGGCGUAAAGAGCUCGUAGGCGGUCUGUCGCGUCUGCCGUGAAAACCCGAGGCUUAACCUCGGGCUGGCGGUGGAUACGGGCAGACUAGAGGUAGGUAGGGGAGAAUGGAAUUCCCAGUGUAGCGGUGAAAUGCGCAGAUAUCGGGAGGAACACCGGUGGCGAAGGCGGUUCUCUGGGCCUUACCUGACGCUGAGGAGCGAAAGCGUGGGGAGCGAACAGG